rnacentral:lncRNA from 1 species
GUCGUGUGGCAGCAGGGACAGUCCCCAGUCCCUCCGGCAGGGAUGCCUCUCCUCCAGCAGGCCCAGGAAUGUGGCCGUGGCGGCUGUGGCAAAACUCGUACACAUUUCCUGCCCGCUAUGAAGACAUGUCAGGCUCCCCCAAACCUCUCCCCAGCCACAAGUCACGCUAAACGUGCUCCUGGGCACAGCGAGGUAUGUAUAUUUUUCUAUUUGUCAUCUUCACGCAUGGUUGUAGGCUUGGUGAUUUUUUUUUUU